rnacentral:tRNA from 1 species
AGUCGUAUAGUGUAGUUGGUUAUCAUAUCAGGUUCUGGUCCUGAUGACCCGGGUUCGAAUCCCAGUAUGACCU